GAACGCGAAGAACCUUACCUGGGCCUGACAUUGAUAGAAUCCCUAUAGAGAUAUGGGAGUGCCAGUUUACCUGGAGCUUGAAAACAGGUGCUGCACGGCUGUCGUCAGCUCGUGUCGUGAGAUGUUGGGUUAAGUCCCGCAACGAGCGCAACCCUCGUCACUAGUUGCUAACGGUUCGGCCGAGCACUCUAGUGAGACUGCCUUCGCAAGGAGGAGGAAGGUGAGGACGACGUCAAGUCAUCAUGGCCCUUACGCCCAGGGCUACACACGUGCUACAAUGGUGUGUACAAAGAGAAGCAAUACCGCGAGGUGGAGCAAAUCUUUAAAACACAUCUCAGUUCGGAUUGUAGUCUGCAACUCGACUACAUGAAGCUGGAAUUGCUAGUAAUCGUAGAUCAGCAAUGCUACGGUGAAUACGUUCCCGGGUCUUGUACACACCG
rnacentral:rRNA from 1 species